GGAGCCAACAGCGAGAGCCAGGAGGCUGCACCAGCAAGCAGGCCCUACGCACACUGUAGCUUCUGCUUCCUUUUACCAAAAGUCAGGAGAAAGGCACACGUUCUUCAGAGCGGAGUUGCUGGCAGUGUCAGAACAUGAGCAGGGCUAAAGUCCCAAGGAAAACUCACGAAGUAGAAGAGAUCCCAGAAUGGAAAUACUAAGGUCGGGACCAGAAGAGGUGCGCAAUCACCCCACAGAGCCAAGGUCAAAGACACUCUGGGUCAGAGAGGACAAGUACAUAGAGUGACCAGAGUUCCAGCACAUUGAGUGAAAGAGGCCGAGGCCAGAGCAGCAAAGGAACAUGUAACACAAAGCAGCUGUGGAACACAUUAUAUGGAGCUUUGGAGAUUGUACUAGCAGGUAUCAAAUAACAGAAGAAAUGGAUUCCGAACCCUUGAAGACUAGAACCCUUGGUCCCAAUCAGAGGAACACAAGCUUCAGGAUAGCAUGUGAUAACACAGGAGCCAAAUGAGCAAAUCUAAUAAAGCAAGAUGCAAUGGAUACACAAGGUUAAUGAACUGCUAUCAAGCCUCCAGGGCUGAGCAGGCGCUAUGCUCACAGAACGGGUAAUGCACAGCCUGCUUCUGAUGCCCUUCCUGUUGGAUCAUUUAUGCCAUAGUACAGUGUGGAAGGAAGUCUUUGAACUGGAGUCAGCAGCCUAAAUUUGCCAUAUUGGGUCUCACUCUGUAGCCCUGGCUGACCUGAACUUGCUAUGUGGACCAGCUGGUCUUGAAACCACAAAUAGUCUCUCAAAUGUUCCAGGAUGUACGUUCUCUCUUCCAAUUCUCCCAUUCCACUGAUCUAUUCAAACAAAGACAUUCUGCAGAGCAACAGAGACUGUUAUGGAGAUCUACAAGUGGUCAAAACGCUGAGAACAAGUGAGAUUUUUGUGCCCAGCCCCAGCUGGUACAUGUACAGCACAAACUCUAAGCCUGAAGCUUGGAGAACGAGAGAGAAGAAAGACUGUAAGAGCCAGAGGACCAGGAAGCCUGCUGUGAGACAGCUUCUUCUAGACAUGGCAGGAAAGCUGUGUCUGUGAAAUCACACAACGAUACAGUCAUCGAAACAAGACCUGAACAGUGGCCAUGAACAUGAGUGGGAGAAAUUUCACAGGGCCCCACCCCAAGUGAAGAGCUAAAGACAAUCAAUGGCUGCUGAACAAGGAACAGACCCUGAUGGCUUAUCCAAUCCUGAGUGGUAGCUCCAAACACAUGUACAUAUAAGCAACACUAAAUGGACUCAAUAUAUAUAAUCCUAGAAGAGGUCACAAGUUCAAGAGAGGGGGGAGGGGUGGAAAUGAUGUAAAUACAGUACUCAAGUAUGACACUCUCAAAAAACACAAUUAAUUUAAAUUUUAAAAAUUCAAAUUCCAUGACUUCUUCCUUAACUAACUGGGCCAUGGGUCUCAUAGCAGCUUUGAUCUUCCUAAGCAUCCUGUCACUAAACUGCUUUGUUUUCCCAACCUAGAAAUGUUACACCUGUUGCUGCCUUGAGUGUUUAAAUAGUUAAAUAUUUCAUCCCCUUUGACUUUUCGCAAGUAUCUGUUUUCCCUACAGAUAAGAGGCAAAAAUUUGUUUUAAGCAAGAAAUGCAUGACUUGACA